GUUGAACGCUGGCGGCAGGCCUAACACAUGCAAGUCGAACGAGUGGCGGACGGGUGAGUAAUGUCUGGGAACCUGCCUGAUGGAGGGGGAUAACUACUGGAACCGGUAGCUAAUACCGCAUACCAUCGGAUGUGCCCAGAUGGUAUUAGCUAGUAGGUGGGGUAAAGGAUCACCUAGGCGACGAUCCCUAGCUGGUCUGAGAGGAUGACCAGCGACACUGGAACGGAGACAGGGUCCAGGCUCCUACGGGAGGGAGCAGUGGGGAAGAUGGCACAAUGGGCGCAAGGCUGAUGCAGCCAUGCCGCGUGUAUGGAGAAGGCCUUCGGGUUGUAAAGUACUUUCAGCGGGGAGGCGUUACCCGCAGAAGAAGCACCGGCUAACUCCGUGCCAGCAGCCGCGGUAAUUC
rnacentral:rRNA from 1 species